rnacentral:lncRNA from 1 species
AGCCAGAGUAACCUUUUGUCUACAAUUAAAUAUUCUAGCAUAAAUAUAAAAGAAAAUCAGAGAUGGGAAAGAUUGACUCACGAGAGAUUGGAGAGGUAGAUUCGCACGGUGAUAGUGCAAGCAGCUUGCUUCUAAUUAAAUAUGCGGCUGAGUCUCAAAGCAUUUGCUUUCAGCCGCAGAGAGAAGAAGCUGCCCAAGAAUGGAAAGGAAGAAAUAUAUCACAUCAUCUGUCUGUCCACAGGCUUUCCUCUGGGCUUAUGGAGACCCUGUUGUCAUUCUUUGGCUGGGAUUUCCUUAGAGAGGACAUGGGAAAAGACCAGUGCCAGUAGGAAGGAAAAAAGAGUUUUCAUGUGUGAUGAAUUUCAAUACCAGAAAGAGUCAGAAAGUUUAAUGGGAUUAUUUUGUGGUGUUUUUUCUGUUUUGGGUUUUGUUUUGUUUAUUUGU